CGAUUCUCGUGCCUCAGCCUCCUGAGUAGCUGGGACUAUAGGAUUUCUCAGAAUUUUCUUGUGACUCUCCAAAGCAACAUGUAGAAUGCAGAAUGUCCUACAUUUUAUAUUUUCUCAGGUGGGUGAAAAUGUCUGUCAACAUCAUUUGGUCAGUGUUGUCUUAAGGAGAGGUAAAAAAAAAAAAGAAAUCCACCGUCAUAGGAGGCAAACAGAUAUUGAGGGAAAAUCAAUAAGCUACAUUUGGGGUCUCUAAAUUCCAGUCCCUUUUUAAACUGAUAGCUAUUGGGACCUUAGAGCCUGAAAUUUCUCAUUUGUAAAAUAUGGAGGAUAGAACUGAAUUAUCCCUAAGCUUUUUUCAUCCUUAUAAGCUGGUGACUGUUUUGUUCCAGAAGAGUUUUAAGAAUAAGAUACAAUACACAACACAUCAAAUGAAAAAUUGGUGAGGGUAAAAUGAGGCACAGAGAAUGUAAGGUAGAAAAGAUGGAAGAAGGAGGGAAGUUAUUAUGCAAAAUACAUUCUGUGAAAUCCUUCAUGGUUAAUAUGAUAGAACCAAAUUUGGUUCUAUGCUUUCUAAGGAACAGUUUGAAAAGGGAACUAUGACCACAGCUUUGUAAUUAACAGACUCCUAAACUAAAAACAAACAUUUUCCUAAAAGAAACAACUGUUCCCAGUUUGAACAAAUUUUUCCCAUGGCUUUUAACUCUGUGGUAUGGCCCUUUAGUCUUUUAGGUAGAAAUUUCAGCUCUGUGGUGGGAUGGCACCAAGAUUUGGAACCUCAGUAGAUACACUUCAUAGGUCUUGUGGAUACAUACAUUUAAUAUACAUCAUCCUCAUUUACGGAACCAUUACAUGUUGUAGCCCAGCCCAACUUGCGUAUAUGUGGAGGUGUUUGGGUCUUGACUCUGGACUCCGGAGUAUUCUCUCCAUCCUGGAGGGGCCGUGUGCCAGGAGCCCGGGGGUGUCAGCCGCUCUCCAGAUGGCCUCCUUUGUGCAUCCUCACAUCAGUUCUGGGUGCACCCUUCUCCUUCCUGCAUCUCUAACUUAGCAUUGGCCGAGCCUGGAUCGGGGUUUCCAACAGCCUUUUCACAAAAUCACAGCGAUGCAAAGCUGUCCCAGGGGUUUUGUGUUGUUCAGGGUGGUAAAGGUUCAAACCUAGGUUCUAUUUUUUAAGUAAUUAUUAAUAAAUAAAAUGAUAGCUUAAAUACGUUUUAGAAAAUAAUACUGCUUCAGGACCUCUUAAUGUAAGUGAAGCUAUUAGUGCCAGUCAGAUGAGUGAACAUGCUUAUGACUCACAUAAACACUGCAAGCCCCCAUGGGGGCUUUAAUUAGUUUUUAUAAUUAGUCAUUUACUGUUACUUUAUACAUAGAAUGGAUAACUGAUUACAGACAGUAAGCAGAAGAAGCAACUGAUGUUGUGACGAUUAUCAUUUGCAGUCAUCUGGUCAAAAUUCUUACAGACUUUUCAUGGUGUAGAUAAUGUUUUAUUUCCUAAACUGGGUGUGUAUUUCCUAAACCUGUGUUUAUUGCAUUAUUCUUUUAAUCUUAAAUAUCUUAAUGUAUUUGUGGAGUUUUAUAUUAGUCUAUUAGGACAUUUAUAUGGUAUAAAAUUCAAUGUUGAUAAAAGAAAAAGUAAUGAUAAUCAUAUGUAAUUUGACCUUGAUUUAUUAGAAAUAAAUAUCACUCAUACCCUCUGUCUUUCCCUCUCUCUCCCUUUUUUUCUCUCUCUUUCUCUCUCUCUCUCUCCUUACAUUGUUCCUGAUAAGCUGACAACAGAGUCAAAUGAAACACAAAUAUAUAUAUAUAUACUGCAGAGAAAUGCAUACAAACAGCAGCCUAAAGCUUUAUCUUGUCUCAUUAUUUUAUAAUUAAACACAAAAAUUAUUGCAGGUUGAUUAUUUUUGUCCAAAAUGCAAGAUUACCAAAUAUUCAUGAAUGAAAACUUUUAUCUCUUUAUCUAUCAUGACAUAUUAAUUGUAGCUUGAAAUUUAUAUAAUUGGUCCCAAAACCAAGUAUAUGCCCAUUUGUCAUUUCAAAAAUUUGUCAUUUCAAAAAUUUCAAAAACAAGUCAUGCAUUUCAUUACAUGAUGAAUUUAAAGUAGACUAAGUAGCACAUCACUGUUAAAUAAGAAAAAAGUCAAACUAGAAUUAGUAAAAUUUGUAUUUAAAUGAACUUGUUAAUGUAACCUUUAAUAAUAAUUAACUUAAAAUCAAGUAAUUUUACUUAAGGCACUUCUUAUGUGCCAUAAAAUUUUAAAAUAAUUAAAAUAUCUUCCAUGGAGGUUUGCAAAAGUUUAUGCAAGUCAAAAAACAUGAAAUCUUUAAAGAAGCCAGGAAAAGAUAUUAAAAUAAUUAUUUGUAUCCAAUUUAAAGAGAACCUUGCUGUUCUUGAGUAGAUUACUGGUAAUUGGAUAAUAUGAGGUCUGGUCAGUUGCAGAAGGGAGAUUAAAGGCCAAUGGGGUAGUCAGCUGAUUUGAAGAACAUGUUAUAAAGCAGUUCUUGCUGUGCUUUGCCCUGUCCACAUCAUAGAAAAAUCUCCUAUAAUUUCCUGUCCCAGCUCUCAGUGAAAAUCAGGGAUCACCUCUUCAAAUGAAUACUAAUCUUAAAUAUGUUAAACAAAUCCCUAUACUGUUUUUUAUGUUCUCUUUUUAUUGAAGAUAUACAUAGAUAUUCAUACUAUUUUGAAAUGCCAAUUAUAAAUUAGUACAAUUUUCCCAAUAAUAUAUGGGCAUUAUUGUGAAAUGAAAUACCUUUUACCUUUAAUAUAUGGAUUUAUGGACACUAUUGUGCCCAUAUAUUAUUUAGAAAAAAUAUAGUAAGUAAAUUUUACAUCUACUAUUACAUCCAAAUGUGGCUAACAAUUCAGAAUGACUUAGAUAAGCAUCGUUAUUUUCCAGCAAUAUUGACAUUGCUUGGCUGUUCCAAUUGUUAAUUUUAAAACCCAACUGUUAUCAGACUAACUAUGAUUUAAUAAAACUUUGGUAAAUGUCUAAAGGAGCCUUUCAGUAAAUAUGAUCUAAGGAAAAAGAAAUAUACAGAAAUGAAAUAACUUUUACAUUUGAUUAAUUGAAGUAAGUUGCAACAUUUUUCUGAAUUGCAGUUAGCUUUCAUUUUCAGACUUUGGAAGAACAAGUCAUUUGUACCAGGAAGUACAUGGUAAAGAACUAUGUUUGGCAACUUAGAGAACAUUUUUAGCAUUUGAAUUUCCCUAUUUAUAGUACAGCAUCAGGCAUAGUAAAAUGUUUGGCAUUUCUAUAAGGGAUGCAAAUGCCUUAACAUUCACUGUUGUGAUCUAACAAUUCAUUUCAGAGUAAGAUGAAUCAGUCUUGUUUGGAAAAUGUUUUACACAAAUACUGGCAAGGAAACUAUCACUGCAUUUCUGUGGAUUUUAAAAUGCAGACUCCUCUAAAGUAAAUGGUGACAAAUUGCACAAUGUUUUUUCUUUCUUCUGCGUUACCAUGCUUCUAUGUGAACUGACUUUUAUUACUUUAAAUUCUCACACUACUCUACUACAUUCCUUGCUUUUUAGAUUUUGUUAAUCCAUGCUGGAAUCAGAAACUCUGUUUCCAGGUCCUUCUAAAUGUCGAAUUCUUUUUAACCUAACCUUCCUUUAAUCCACAAUGUUUUCCUCAUAAUUGAAACCACAGAUUACUUCAUUAACAUCUGCCCUUUUCUUUUACAUUAGAGAACGUGAGAAUUGUAAUUUGUAGGAUUUUGCCCUUAAUUUGCUACAUAGAAAAGAAAUACUUGUAUUCUCCCUCUUUCUCUCUCUCUAUCACACACACACACAAACACAGAGGCACACACACACACACACACACAUGCACACACACACACACUUGAAGUAAUGAAAAAUGAGCAGACUAAAUGUAAUGCAGCAUCCUAGAUGGGAUCCUGGAACCAAAAAUAAAAGGACAUAGGGUGCAAACUAAGGAAAUCCAAAUAAUAAUAAUAAUGUACCGAUAUUGGUCCAUUAAUUGUAACACAUGUACCAUGCUGACGUAAGUUGUUAAUAAUAGACUAGAAAAAAUACAGCAAAUUCAUUUAUAACUAACGUAUUAAAAACCAUAGUUGACUUCAGCCUGUUUUGUGAUAAGAAGAAUUGAAGUAUACAAAGUGAUAAUGAUAUCUCCUGUUGUCAAUGUCUUCUACUGAACAUAGUCAUCUAUAGCAAAGGCUGGCAAAAUCCAAGUAUUUGGCAAAAGCUGGAGACCAAAUCCAGCCCUGCCAUCUGUUUCUGUAGGGCUUGAACACACUUCUGCUGUUAUCUUCCAGAUGCCCCUAGCGGGGCAAGAGGAUGCAGGCUCAGAUGAUCUGGGCUCCAUUCCCAGCCAUUUGGUGUUGUGGGCAUUGUUUGACUUAUUUAACCUUUCUGGAUGUCAUUUUUCGUAUCUGUGAAGUCAGAGGGUCGAACCAGGUUUUUCAGAACCUGUGGCGUGGAGAAUUCUGACUCUGAAUGUGUGUUGGAGGUCCAUUUGUGAUUACAGCAUAGAGUUUAUUAAGGAUGAAAUUUUGGCAUUAAAGCAAUUUGCAUGCAUUAUAUAUGCAAUAUAUAGCUUAAAACAUAAGAUUACCCAUCAUUUUCGGCACUUUUGAACUCUACCAAAAAGGAAUUAAAUAAUCACAAAAAGGAACCCUAUUGCCACGUGUAUUAGUCUGUUCUCAUGCUGCUAAUAAAGACAUACACAAGACUGGGUAAUUUAUAAAGGAAAGAGGUUUAAUGGAAUCACAGUUCCACAUGGCUGGGAGGCCUCAUAAUCAUGGUAGAAGGCAAAGAAGAAGCAAAGGCACGUCUUACAUGGCGGCAGGCAAGAGAGAGCUUGUGCAGGGGAACUCCCAUUUAUAAAACCAUCAGAUCUCACGAGACCCAUUCACCAUUAUGAGAACAACAUGGGAAAGUCCCGCCCCCAUGAUUCAAUCUCUUCCCACCAGGUCCACAACAUGUAGGAAUCAUGGGAGCUACAAUUUAAGAUGAGAUUUGGGUGGGGACAUAGCCAAACCAUAUCAUUCUACCCCUGGCCCCUCCCAAAUCUCAUGUCCUCACAUUUCAAAACCAAUCAUGCCUUCCUAACAAUCCCCCAAAGUCUUAACUCAUUUCAGCAUCACCUCAAAAGUCCACAGUCCUAAGUAUCAUCUGAGACAAGGCAAAUCCCUUCCAUCUAUGAGCCUGUAAAAUCAAAAACAAGUUAGUUAUUUCCCAGAUAUAAUGGGGGUACAGGCAUUGGGUAAAUACAUCCAUUCCAGAUGGGAGAAAUUGGCCAAAACAAAGGGGUUACAGGGCCCAUGCAAGUCCAAAAUUCAAUAGGGCAGUCAUUAAACCUUAAAAUGACCUUUGACUCCAUGUCUCACAUCCAGGGCAUGCUGAUAUAAGAGGUGGGCUCCCAUGGCCUUGGGCGGCUCCACCCCUAUGGCUUUUCAGGGUACAUCCCCACUCCUGGCUGCUUUCACAGGCUGGUGUUGAGUGUCUGUGACUUUUUCAGGUGCACAGGGCAAGCUGUCAGUGGAUCUACCAUUCCAGGGUCUGGAGGACAGUGGCCCUCUUCUCAUGGCUGUACUAGGCAGUGCCCCAGUGGGAACUCUGUGUAGGGGUAUCAACUCCACAUUUUCUUUCCACACUGCUCUAGCAGAGGUUGUCCAUCAGCUUGCCACUCCUGCAGCAAACUUCUGCCUAGACAUCCAGGCAUUUCUGUACAUCCUCUGAAAUCUAGGUGGAGAUUCCCAAACUUCAAUUCUUGACUUUUGUACACCCAUAGGCCCAACACCAUGUGUAAGCCACCAAUGCUUGGGGCUUGCACCCUCUGAAGCAAGGGCCUGAGCUGUAUGUUGGCCCCUUUUAGCCAUGGCUGGAACUGAAGCGGCUGGGAUGCAGGGCGCCAUGUCCCGGGGCUGCACAGAACAGGGGGGCCCUGGCCCACUAAACCAUUUUUCCUUCUAGGCCUCCAGGCCUGUGAUGGGAGGGGCUGCUGUGAAGGUCUCUGACAUGCCCUGGAGACAUUUUCACCAUUGUCUUGGUGAUUAACAUUUGGUUCCUCAUUACUUAGGCAAAUUUCUGCAGCUGGCUUGAAUUUCUCCCAGAAAAUGGGUUUUUCUUUUUAAUUGCAUCAUCAGGCUGCAAAUUUUCCAAACUUUUAUUCUCUGCUUCCUCUUGAAUGCUUUGCUGCUUAGAAAUUUCUUCAACCAGAUAUCCUAAAUCAUUUGUCUCAAAUUCAAAGUUCCACAGACCUCUAGGGCAAGGGCACAAUGCUGCCAGUCUCUUUGCAUAGCAAGAGUGAUCUUUACUCCAGUUCCCAACAAGUUUGCCAUUUCCAUCUGAGACCACUUUAGCAGGGACUUUAUUGUCCAUAUCACUAUCAGCAUUUUUAUCAAAGCCAUUCAAUAAGUGUCUAGGAAGUUCCAAACUUUGCCACAUUUUCUUAUCUUCUUCUGAGCCCUCCAAACUAUUCCGACCUCUGCCUGUUACCCAGUUCCAAAGUCAGUUCCACAUUUUCAGGUAUCUUUAUAGCAGCACCCCACUCCUGGUCCCAAUUUACUGUAUUAGUCUGUUCUCACACUGCUAAUAAAGACAUGCACCAGACUGGGUAAUUUAUAAGGGAAAGAGGUUUAAUGGAAUCACAGUUACCCAUGGCUUGGGAGGCCUCACAAUCAUGGUGUAAGGCAAAGAAGAAGCAAAGGCCUGUCUCACAUGGCAGCAGGCAAGAGAGCAUGUGCCAGGGGAACUCCCAUUUAUAAAAACAUCAGAUCUCAUGAGACCCAUUCACCAUCAUGAGAACAGCAUGGGAAAGACCUGCCCCUAUGAUUCAAUCACCUCCCAUUGGGUCCCUCCCACAACAUGUGGGAAUAAUGGGAACUACAAUUCAAGAUGAGAUUUAGGUGGGGACACAGCCAAACCAUAUUGCCAUGUGAGUCACUUAUGUACUAGGAAAGCAAGACCAGUUGUUUUGAAAUACCCAUGUUGAAUCUGAGCUCAAAAUCAUAUUAAAAUAUUAAAUUGUGCCUUAAUUUGUGAUAAAGUAUUACUAUCCAAAUGAUAAUGUACACUUUGAGAAAGAAAGAUUUUAGGCUAAUGUACUUUAAGAUUGUACACUUAAAUGCAAUUUAGCUUGAAUUUGUUAUUCAAUAUAGUCAAUAAUGUUAUGUGGUAUUUAAUUUAGGCCAAUAAAGUUUUGAAUACCUAAUUAUGUUAAGGCCUUUAAGACAGUUGAGACCUUGCCAAAUGUUCAUAUUAUGCUUGUCGAGUUAAUUAUCAGGAAGUUACUUAUCUGAUCAUUGUUUCUUAAUUUCUAUUGAGCCAGUCAUUGUCCUUUAUAAGAAAUUAUUUUCCAGCUGUAGUAUUUCAGUGCUGGGUUUUGAUUAUAGACAUAUAAAAAGGGUUUAUUUAGGACUGCCUUUAAAAUUAAAUCUGAUCAUAAUUAUUUGACUAGUAGAGGCACUCUAGGAAAAGGUUGAGUAGUGGCUGUCCACUUUGGCUACUCAGUAAAAUUACCCAAGGGGCUGUUUAAAUUCCCAUGUGCAGGUAUACCCUCAAACUAAUUAAGUCUAUCUCUGGAGGUAUUUUUUUAAAGCUCCCAAGGUCCUUUGAAUAUGCAGCCAAAGUUGAGAAAUACAGGCCUUGAGAACAAGCAAGGAAAGCCUCCUGGGGAGGUCUUUCUGUAGUGGAAUGCUCCUGCUCUUUGUAAUUGGGUAGCUUGAGUAGCUGUGAAGUUCUUUAAAGAAGAUUAUUUUCAAAAAGAAAGAAACUUACCAAUAUCUGGAGAGGGGCAGAAAGCACGUGUUGCUUGCCCUAAGUCUCCAUCCUACAAAUACCAGGAGAGUUUGUCCUGAUUUUGAAAGGAUUUAGGAGGUAACAUCCUGCUUUUGUCAACGCAUGGUGUUUGCUUUGACUUUUGUUUGGCAUCUUAUUUCACCUACAAGAUCAGUGGGAGCUAAAAUUUAUUGAGCGCACCUGCUAAGUAUCAGGUCCUGUGCUAUAAACAUCACUCUGUCUCACAGCCAGGAAAGAUAGAAUUAUUCACUUAGAAAUAAAAAGUCAGAGUUCUGUUUUGUUAGAGAAAUCUUAGUGUAAUUGCAUAAAUAUUUAGUGAUUUCUUUAUUCAUCUGGUGACCUUUGUUGAAUACAUAUGCUAUUCCAAAAAUAAGUUUAAACAUGCCCAAAGAAUACAAAGGAUCUGUAUUCAUUAUCUGUUGCUUCAUAACAACCUUAGUGGCUUUAGAUGAACAUGUAUUUAGCUCUUGAUUCUGUGAUUGAUAGUUUAGGCUGGGCUCAGCUGGGCAAUCCUCUCGUCUUGGCCAGGUUCACUCAUGCAACAAUGGUCAGCUGUGGUUCAGCUUUGCUGAUCUUGGUGGGGCUCUCUCACUUUUCUGGGAGCUUUAACUGAGACAAGCUGGCUGACCAAGCUCUGUUCCUUUGGCCUCUCAGUCAUCAGCAGGGUCAACCUAGAUUUGUUGGAAUAUGGAGUUAGGGUUUCCUAGAGAAUGCCUAAGUAUCCACGGCACCUUAGGCCUGGUGUGAGAAUGGGCACACCAUCACUUCUGCCACAUUUCCUGGCCAAAGCAAGUCACAAGCCCAGUCUAGACACAAGGAGUGGGGAAAGAGAUUUCAUUUCUUGAUGGAAGGUACUAAAAAGUCACAUUUUAAAGGGCAAGGAGAAAGGAAACAGUGAGCAAUUAAUGGUUAUUUUUUGCAAUCAACCACAGGUAGAAAACUUCAGUUCUAUCUUGGGACAUUAGAGGGUGUUCCUGAGAAAUGGUAACAUUUGAGCAGGUUUCAAGGGUAGAAAAUAUAUUUCAGGUGAGGCAAUAGCAUAAGGAGAACUGUCAAAUUGUGCUUUCAUUAGUGAAAAACAAAAUGGAGGUAGUAAGUUCCCUAAACGUAGAAAAUAUGUCUAGCCGACAACUGAGCAUGUGGAAGGCACUCAGCAUGUACUUUCUCAUUUACAUCAAAGGGCAGUGAAGUGACUAAGAGUGUAGGCCCUUAAAGCAGGUAUAAUAACCUGAUAGCCUUACCAUUUACCAGCUAGUUUGCCUUGAACAAAUUACUGUGCCUCUUUAGUACCAUGAGGACAAUAAUACCUCCUAUAGCAUUUGCUGCAUAACAAACCACUCCAUGACUUAACGGCUUAAAAACAACAGCCAUUUACUCAGCAGCUCAUUCUACAGUUUUAUAGUUUGGGCCAUCUUAGGUUGGAGGUUCUUCUGGUCUCAGUUGGGCUCAUGCCUGUGUCUUUGGUCAGCUUGCAGUCAGCUAGAUGUCUCUGCUUCUGAGGAUUGGCUGGCUACUGGGGGAACAAUAAGGACAACUGGAUGACCACCUUCUCAUCAUCCAGCAGGCUAGUGUGGGCUUAUUCACAUAGAGGAUCAGCAGAAUUCCAGAGUGAGAGUAGAAUCAUUCAAAGCAUGUGGGCUGGGUUCAACAUUGACACACCAUUGCUUCCAAUGAGCUCCAUGAGCUAAAGGGAGUCACAAAUCAGCCCACCAUUAAGAGUAGAGAAACAGACAGCAUUUCUUGCUGGAAGGAGCUCCAAAGUCACGUUGCAAGAAGUGAGGAUACAGGGAGGGGAAGACUUGUGACCAUCUAGGGAAUCUUCUAUACCUACCUAUAGCUCACAACAAUCCUGUGAAGAAAAAGUUAAAUAUAACUUGAUUUUUCUAGGUGAGGCUCCAACCUAAAAAGUACCAGGCUAAUCAUAGAUGUUCAAUACAUGGAAAGUAUUAACUUUUUCCUAUGAAAAUUAGAAAUCAGAUUUUAAGCCAAAUUCUUUAAUUGCUUACUUUUAUAGAAUAUCAGAUGAACCUCCAAGUGCUUCUUACAAAGGUUAAACAUUAUACAUUCUUUCCCUGUUGCAGAAAUAUAAUGUAAGUGGGUAAAGCUCACUGCCUCUGAGUGCAUGUGUAUCUUGGCCUGACAGUCUGGCAGCUGCAAUGUGUAGAAUAUGCUUAUUCAACAUAAAGGGUCAACUCAGGAAAAGAACCAGAGACGGUCAAGUACAAUGUUUCAGUUCCCAAAAUAUUCAAGGCCUUUUAUAAUGGGUAAGAACUCAUUUCAAAACCUAUACAAAGAACAAAAACCUUAAUAAAUUGUUAUUGAUUUCUUUUACUGUUAUGAGUAUUUUCAUAAAACCAGCUAAGCCUCAUAUAGUUCUAGAUUGAUCCACACAUUGCUUUUGGAUCCCAUAAAUUGCAUUCAAUGGAGAUUUAUUUAUCUGGCAGCUAAAAUACCUCUAAUCAGUGAUGUGAACUGGAUCAAAAAAUACCUAUACUCUUUGAAAUAAAUAGAACAUCAAAGGGUAUUCAAGAAUGUGUAGUGCAGAAAUAUGGCAAAUGUGCAUUGAGGGUGGUGCCAGCUUUUUUAUAAUUAUGGAACUUCUAAGUCCUUAAAUGAUAGAGAUCAGAUGGUUCUUGCGCUCUGCCUCCUGACUUCAGCCUGCUUUACCCAACCCACCACCUCCAAAAGCUCCAAAGCCCACAAAAGGGCCCUCUAUCCGCCCGAUUGCACCUCAUUCCCAAACACUGAAUGUCCACUGUACUGCUUGUUCCUCUUAAGAUUUUAGAAAGUCUUAGUGGUGGAGUGAUUAAGAACUGUGGCUCUGAUCCUCAUGUCUCUCACUUUCUUCCUCUCUGAGUGACAGGGGAAGCUUCUGAAGCUACAAGCCUCCUUCCUUAUUUCCUUAAUAAUGGUCGUACAAAGACAUGUUUACGUGGCCAUUCCAUCACAUUUAGAGUCAUUUGCUGUUAACAACAACAGAAAUAUUGAAUCCCCAACGAUUUAUGUCAUUAGAAAAGAAAAACAAAUAUAAAUUAAUUAACAUUUUCAAGACAUCCCAACACAGGUUUGCUGAUGGUGUUGCUUUGGCUUUCAAAGCCUGCUAGUCCCCAUCUUGCUCUGCAGCACUGGAGUAUGGGUCACUUUCUGGAAAGGCUUCAGUGCCUUUGCUACAGAGUAAAUAGUUUGUUUUGAACUCUCAGUUUGUUUUUAAAGUAAUGUUUUAUGGGCCAUGUAAUGAAGUACCUAACAUAGUGCUAAGCACAUAGUAAUAAGUAUUUGUAGACCUGAUAUGUCUAUCUUUGCAUGCCUGAGAAUGAUUUCCGGUUUAUAAAAUUUGUGUUGGCAAGGAAAGCAGUUUUUGUUGCUACUGAUAAGCCAUCUGGGGCUUGAUAUUCUAAAUUUGAUGACUCUAUUUACACAUAAUAUCUUUUAGGGGGAUUCCAUAUUUUUUACGUUUGUUUGCCAAACUAGAAGUUAUGUACAAAGUUGUAAGCCCAAAAUCUGAGAAUUUUACCCUGGCAAACCCUACAAAUAUUUUAAAUUACCGCAAUGAUUUUUUAGUAAAUAAAAUGUCAAUGCAAAUAUGUGGAACUAGAUUUCAGAGAUCUCAGAGAUCCCUGAACAUUCUAUGGUUCUUUAUACUGGCACUGUAGAGAAUUUAUAUUAUAUUGAACAUUUUAUAUUAAGCAUAUGUCUUGAGGCCAGGUGCAGUGGCUCACGCCUGUAAUCCCAGAACUUUGGGAGGCUGAGGCGGGCGAAUCACUUGAGGUCAGGAGUUUGAGACCAGCCUGGCCAACAUGGUGAAACCCUGUCUCUACAAAAAAUACAAAAAUUAGCCAGGCAUGGUGGCAGACACCUAUAAUCCCAGCUACUCCAGAGGCUGAGGCAGGAGAAUCGCUUGAGCCCGGAAGGCAGAGCCUGCAGUGAGCCGAGAUCACGCCACUGCACUCCAGCCUGGGUGACAAAGCAAGACUCUGUCUCAAAAACAAAGGGCAAGGGGAACUUGAUGUUGAGUUGGAUAUGGGAGGAAACAGAGAGGGUGGUAAACAGGGAGGACCUGGGAUUUGACCUUGGCCAACUAGCUGAAGGUGGCACCAUUUCCAGAGAGAGGGGCCCUGGAGGAUGACCCCAGGGGCAGGGUACAAUGGAGAGUAUAGCCUUGCGCACACUGAGGCCGAGGGCCUGGGGGACACCCAGGCAGAGAAGCCCAGGUGCAGCUGGAUAUGGGAUGGCAGCUCUGAAAAGAGGCUUGGGCCAGAGAUACAGAUCUGGGAUCAUGGCAACCUGAUGGGAAAUGAAGGCAUGGUUUUGGAUGAUGUGUCCAGGAAGAUAAUAUGCAGCAAAAUCAGGAAAAGAACCCAAGACCAUACCUUAAACAACUAUGGUAUUUCAUAGCUAGGGAGAGGAGCCAAUAUCCUGGGGUGUUUUCUCAAAUGUGUGGUUACCAUAAUUUGGCAUCAUCCUUUGACCCAUACCUCUGCCUUUUAAGUUGGCAUAUGGAUGAUAAUGAUUCUGGAUAGUUAUACAGUGUCUGAAAUUUGGUCUGAUAUUUUCUCACAGAAACUUAUACACAAACCUCUGUCUUGUGGAUGUGAGUUGACGGACAUGGGUAGGCAAAAUUCUUGCUUGCUAUUUGAUGAUUUAAGUGACAGAAGUGAAAAAAAAUUUUUUAAAUUCUGGUAUGUAGACUUAGAGGCUUGAUCAAUGCGAGUUUGCAUUAUCGUUAGACUUUCUAGCUAGUGCCCAGGGUUUCCUUUUGCAUCACACAAUACAAUGUCUGGUUGUGCCUCUUUUCCUGACAUUAAAAUUCAUCAGUGGAUUCAGAAGAACCUGCUUAUUUUAAAAACUCAAUGUAUAUAUAAUAUAUUCAAAUGGACAGCUGGUAUCUGAUUAUUUCUUUAUUUUAGUUACAGCUGUGUUAAAUUCAAUUAUAAAUUAUAAAUCAUAAUAGAAGAAUCAGCUGCUUUGAAUGCAGGAAGAUGCAGAUUCUUCUUUAAGUAUGUUUUUGAAUAAAAUAAGAUUAUGUUAAACCAGCCAGGGAAGCAGCAAAAGGAGUUAAUAUUUACUGGGUGCCUACUCUGGGCAAGGGCACUGAACUGUGCAUGUUGCACAAGAUACAAAUGUAGCUGAUUUUGGUAGGGGUUUCAAAUAUACUUUUCUAUGCUGAAUGGCAAUCUGAAAUACUGAAGAUACUGAAUGGAGCUGACAUGCAAACAUAGGCACAUGUUUGGAAGGCUGGCAGAGUGUGUUAUCAAUAUGGCUUAAAGUGCUAGUCUAGACCAAACAGAAGUGCCUCAAAAUAGUGGUAGUGCCCAACUGUCAUUCCAUAUGUCAGUAGGAUUUGUCCUGAAGAUAUUGCAGCUGACUUCUUGGCCAGUACUCUCAGUAUCAUGUGGUAAUAAUGGAAGGAUAAGAUUACUAACAAAAGAUCCCAGGCUAUAAUGAGUCCACUAACAUUAAAUGGAUGCUUUCUGCAAUGUACCUCCCAUCUCAAGCUGACAUGUAUGGAAAUGAACAAUUGCAAGAGACCCAAAAACUUUACCAUGGCAGACUGAGGACCCUAUGCCAAAUAAACAUGGUGUUACUCCCGAUAAAGUGAUCUAAAGAAACCUCAACAGACGAUUGGAAGUACAGUUUCAGACAUUAAUGUCUAGCUGCCUUCUGCUGGAAAUUGAAAGGAACAACUAAGAUUGCAAAAUGUGCAAAUGGAGAAGCCCUCUCUACCAGAAGCUUGGAGCCAGCCAGAGGUCAGCAAAGCACAGGCUGCAAAACGCCUUCUCUGCAAAAGUAGCUGGCACUGUGAAUCUAAUUAAAAUCCCAACAUGUGCAUAUUGCAUGAGGGACUAUAGCUUAAAAUGAAAUUGCAACUGUACACAUUCAUUAUCUAUUAGCCAUCAGUAGUUACAACCUUAAAGAAUACAGGAUUGUAUUUGGUACUAUUCUUAGUAAGACUGCAAAGAUAUGCAUUUAUUCACUCCAUCAAUAUUUACUAAGCACCUGCUCUGCUGUAAGUGCAUGUAUUAGUCCGUUUUCAUGCUGCUGAUAAAGACAUACCUGAGACUGGUCACUUAUAAAAAAAAAAGUUUAAUGGACUCACAGUUCCAUGUGGCUGGAGAGUCCUCACGAUCAUGGAGGAAGGUGAAAGGUAUGUCUUACAUGGCGGCAGGCAAGAGAAAAUGAGAACCAAACAAAAGGAGUUCCCCUUAUAAAACCAUCAGAUCUUGUGAGACUUACUCACUACCAUGAGAACAGUAUGGGGGAAACCACUCCCAUGAUUCAGUUAUCUCCCGCCAGGUCUCUCCCGUAACAUGUGGCAAUAAUGGGAGCUACAAUUCAAGAUGACAUUUGGGUGGGGACACAGCCAAACCAUAUCAGUGCCUUAGUUAUAGCUGCAAAGACAAACAUAGAGUUUGUGCUCAUGAAGGUUCUAUUCUAGAGGUUGUACAUACAACAAUAAACACAAAGGCCAAUAAAUAAUAUGCUUUCAGAUAAGGAUAACAGGAAAAGACAGCAGGGUAAUGAGAUGAAGGCUGAGUGUAGUGGAGUGGACGGGAGAGUUUCAGAAUGGUUGGUCAUAGAAUGCUUUUCUGAGAACACGAUCUUUAAGCAAGACUGAAAAAAUAAGGAGGAACCAGCUGUAUGAUGACCUGAAGGAUGUUCAUUCCAGAAAACAAACAGCUAGUAUAAAAGCUCCAGGUGAGGGGAAGCUUGACAUGGUCAAGGGCUAGAAAGAAAAAGCACAUGAGAAGUCAUGGUCAAGGAGACCAAGGAACCAGCUGAGGCUGGAAUGGUUGGGUCCACCUGCCCCAUGAGAACCCUUCAAUGAAUGUUGGUCAAACUGAGCUGAACAAAGUGUACUGUGUCCGUUUAAACAAUGAAGGUCAAUAGAAAAGCUAAAAUAGCCUAAAUCAUAAAGAAAAGUUAUUGUCAUAAUAAUGUGUUGAUUUAUUGUACAUUCUUUCUAAGAAUUAUGGAUCAUUUUGCAAGUGGAUAGAGAAAUGUAUUUUGGAUCAGCUUUGACAUACGCUUAAAAACAGUGGUAUGUUACCCUCAAACAAGUAACAGGCCAAGAGAUUUUAUAUAUUUCUUGUUGAAAUUUUUAUAUUUGAAAAUGCUUAAAAAUAAUGCUAUUUUAAUUUCUAUAAUAAAUUACAAUAGCCAUAUAACUUUUGAGGGAUGCAGAGAAAACUACAUAGAAAUAAUGUAGCAAACAAGCAAAAAAAAGUGUGGCUCAAAAUCCCUAUCUUCUAAAUCUGAGUCUUUAUGUUGUGUGAGCUCAGAUACCACCCUCUGGAAUAGAUUCAAAACAUGAUCUGUUUUGGCCUGGGCUUUAAGGAUAUACAUGUGAGAAACUUUGGUUUAUGUGAAUUGCAGCAUAGACUCGUUAUGUGGGAAGAGGAACAAUGAGCUGUAUCUGUUUUAUAUUGCCACAUCCUGAUUAUGACAUGUUCCAAUACUACAAGAGAAAUAAGAUGGAAUAGCAUCUGCUAGUUAAGAGUUUAGAAAUAUGAAUGAAUAGUCUAGCUCAGUGAUUCUCAGCCCCAAACAUAUAUUCAGAUACCCUGGGGACACCUUCACAAAUAUCAAUGUCAAGGCCCCAUUCCUGAUCUAUUAAGCCAACUUUGAGAGUUAGACCUCGGCAUUAGUGUAUUGUAAAAAGUUUGGCCUGGGCACAGUGGCUCACACCUGUGAUCCCAGCACUUUCGGAGGCCAAGGUAGGAGGAUCACUUGAGGCCAGGAGUUCAAGCCCAGCCUGGGCAACAUAGCUAAAUUCCAUCUCAACAAUACAUAAAUAAAAAUUAACCAGAUGUGGUGGUACAUGCCUGUAGUCCUAGUUACUUAAGAGGCCUAGGUGGGAGGAUCUCUUGAGCCCAGGAGUUCAAGGUUUCAGUGAGCUAUGAUCACACCACUGUACUCCAGCAAGGGUGACAGAGACCUUGUCUUAAAAAAAAAGUUGGCAAUGGAUAGCCAGGGUUGAAAACCACUGGUCUAAUUUAAUAGGUCGCCAUAGUCUUUAGGAUACCGUUGGUUUGAUUUUCAGCAUCUUAGUCUCUAUAUCUCAUAUCUUAUCAUCUGGGUAAUACUUCAUUAUUUUUUUUAGAGAUCAGAGCUUAUGGUCCCUAAGGUUAGUUUGAUGGGAAAGUCUUUUCCUUUCUGACUUCCUUUUUCCUUUUAUUCUUUGCUCUUUUGAAAAUGUAUUUUCCUUCUAAAGCAUAAUCUGGAGAUUGAGAACUUUUAAAAUCUAUAAAGGAAUAGUCCAUGGUAAUUAAACUUCAAGUUUCAUGUAUCCAUUAUUCAGAAAUUAAUAUCUGCUUCUAAAAAUAUUGAAGUUGUUAUAAUAAAGACACAUAAGGUUUUUUAAAACAUAUGAAAUAAAAAACUUGUAAUUGGCAUUGGUGUAGGCAGAGGAAAGAAAGAGCUAGACGAAGAUAAUUGCUAUAAUUAAAGAUAAUUACAGCUUUGAGCAUCCAGCCAGCCAUGUGAGGGGAAAAGAAGAAAGGAAAUAUGAUUUUUGUAUGUGUAGUUUAUCUUUUAUACAAAAAGGCAAACUACUUCACCAGGACAGAAAACCUUCUUCUGAGAAGUAAAAUCUCUAGGAGUUUAUCACACAGACACAUAAAGCUUUAUGUACCACACAGUAGAACAAUGUCAUUUAAUAGUUUUAUGAGAAAUUCAGAUAAAUCAAGAUAAUUUCUUAUAUUAAUAUUUUAUAAAAGCUACUUUUAUGACAUUACUUCAUCAGUAGGUUCAGCUGCUACCUCAUAGAGUCCUGAGCUCAUGUCAGUAGGACUGUGCCAGCUGCAGUCCUGGAGGAUGUUGGUAUUCCAGUGAGCUGUGGCAGAGCAUGUCCUUCAGUUCAUCUGAAAGCCAUACGAAGUCACAGAUGAGAGGAAGUGGAGCAGAACACCACUCUGUUAGGAAACGUGAGAUUGGAAUUUGAUCUGUCAGGUUCACCUUACCCUUUUAAAUUCUUACAGUAGUAGUAUUAUAUAUACUACUAUAUUAUAUAUAUUAUAUAUUAGUAUAUAAUAUGUAGUAUUAUAUAUAUUAUAUGUAGUAUUAUACUUUGGGAGAGUAUUAAUAGUUUGAGAACUAUACUGUAGUCAUACAUCUUGGUGUCUUAGAUGGAUCCUGGCUACAGAAUCAAAAACGUAUGAUAGAUAAGUGGCUACUGCAGAACACCUUACAUUGUUCUUAAUUAUGUUCUUCGUAAAGGGAAGCAGAGUGUUACCAGUGACUACUAGUGAGCCAGUUGCCCCUAAAGUUUGUUUAUUCCUGAAACACUAUAACAUGGCAAUUUAUUAAGUAUAAUGAAGUAGAAUUUUGAAGAGUUUGGAGAAAGGUCUAAAAUAUGUGAUGUGAAAAAGACUGAAUUAUUCUUGUUUAUGGGAUAAUAGCAUAUUGUUUUACAAUUUGUGUCUAGAAAUCACGUAACUGUUAGAAAUAAUUGCUUACAAAAAGAACUAGAAUGAAACCACAUAGCUUAUAUUAUUUAAUCCGAUGGACAAAAUGAUACAUACUAACUUCUUUUCCCAAUAGCAAUUACUAGAUGUCAGUGGCUACCUUGAUUUUCCUAGAUGAGUUUUCUUUUUGUCCUAAAAACACAUCUUCUUGUCCUGUUUUGUAAAUAUAUUUUUCUUGAAGUUUUCCUGUAAUAGAUGCAUGAGAAAUAAGCACACAGUGAUUCCCCCGGACCAGAUUCCACUGUUAUAUUUCUCACAGUAAGCAUUGGCAGGGCCACUGCCACGGCUAUUUAGUGCAAACCUCAUGCCUCUAGGAGGUGCCACUCACAGAAAUAUAGUCUAUGCUCUUAGUACAGCCAGACCUCCUCAAAGCCUCAGUGGCAGAGAAGUGUGAACUCACAUUCCUGACUCCAUGUGUCAUUCUUCAAGCUCCCGUGUUUUAUUUUUUAAGUUCUUUUUUUUUUUUUUUUUUUUUUUUGAGACAGAGUCUUGCUCUGUCACCCAGGCUGGGAUGCAGUGGCACGAUCUCAGCUCACUGCAACCUCCACCUUCUGGCUUCAAACAAUUCUCCUGCCCCAGCCUCCUGAAUAGCUGGGAUUACACGUGCCCGCCACCACACCCGUCUACUAUUUUUUUUUUUUUUUUUUGUAUUUUUGUAUUUUUAGUAGAGACGGGGUUUCACCGUGUUGGCCAGGCUGGUCUCGAACCCCUGACCUCAGGUAAUCCACACACCUCAGCCUCCCAAAGUGCUGGGAUUAUAGGCGUGAGCCACCAUGCCUGGCCUAUUUUUUAAGUUCUUAAUAGAACCUUGUACUCCAUGAGAUCCAUGUUUCUUUUAUGAUAAAUUAACUUAAAAUCAAAUAACUUCCACAUUUCUAGAAGAUGUUGUUGGCACCUUUUUCCCGCACUUCCCACAACAUGUCUCUAAUAUAUGCCUGUCCCUACCUGCAAACCUUGCCGCUGUAUCAUAGGCUACUCUCUCUCUCUCUGCCUCUCUGUUGAAUGCCUUUAAAAUACCCUUUCCAGAAAAAGAGUGAAAACGUAGCAUAGAGAAGUGAAGGGGGCAGGGCUGUCAGAGCCAUACUGUGAUAUUUGUUCUCAUUGUACAACCUGAAGACUUUCCUUGGUCUCUACUUUCCAAAGAAAAUGGAAAUUGGGGGUAGAGUGACCAUGUUGACUGCCUUACAUACAAAGGGCUUUGAACUCAGCACAGGGAAAGGCUCUCUUUAAAAUGUUAGCUUAAUGAAUCCAUAUUCUAAGGCCUCUCCAAAAAAGUUCUUAAUACUGUGGCAUACAAUGUGAGUUCCACAUAUGAUCCUUCAACUUGAAAACCUCUGUGACACUCAAAAUGUAAAACUCUUCACAUUAUACUCCAAGACUUUUCAUAAACACAGCCUUAACCCAUAACUUCCAUUUUAUUCAUGAUUUCCAAAUAGAAAAAAAAAAUGGAAAAUCUCGAGGAAGACAGUGUGAUUUUAAAGAUGUUCAGAAUUGCAUUCUUUUUGGUGCAUGAGGUCUUGUAAUCCCAUUGGCUCCAUGGCUUUCUAAGGAGGGUCAGUUUUCUGAGUUCUCCCUGUGGACUUCUGGAGUUUCACUGCCUCUGCCCCUGGGGACCCGCUAUGAGAUUAGAUUUUUACUUUCACACUAUGAACCAGGAACACAGUGAGGCUUGUCUACAGAACCAGUGAGAUGGAAAGGGACCAGGAAGAGGUGGCACUUCAGUGCCCACACAGAGAGAGAAGGGAUAGAGAACAGAUUCAGGAUUGGGCAGUGCAGGACUCACAAGCACGAGACCUGUGUCCUUCAAAGGGUUUUCUAGUGAAUUACCUACUUGGGAAUCACUUAGGAUGCAAGAUAAAAAUAUAGAUUCUUGGCCAGGCAUGGUGGCUCAUGCCUGUAAUCCCAGCACUUUGGGAGGCUGAGGCAGGCAGAUCACUUGAGGUCAGGAGUUUGAGACCAGCCUGGCCAACAUGAUGAAACCCCAUCUGUACUAAAGAUACAAAUAUUAGCCAGGCAUGGUGGCACAUGCCUGUAGUCCCAGGUACUUGGGAGGCUAAGGUGGGAGAAUUGCUUGAACCUGGGUGGCAGAGGUUGCUGUGAGUCGAGAUCGCGCCACUGCACUCCAGCCUGGGCGACAGAGCAAGACUCCGUCUCAAAAAAUAAUUAAAAUUUAAAUUUAAAAAUUAAAAUAUAGAUUCUUGGGCCCCUCUCCAACUCUAUUAUAUCUGGGCCUCAGCCCUUUAACAAAUUGCCCCAUGUGUUACAAGGCAGGACUGGGAGAACGUCAGGGAGUGAGGGAUUCUGGAGGGCAUCUUUGCCUGGGAAGGACGGCAAGUGAAGCCUAUGAGGCUGACAGAUGGAGGGGCAGGUGUGCUGAACGGACCUGCAGGACACGCGCUCUGAUACAGAUGGAGGCUGGGUAUUCCAUAGGGCCACAAUCACACUUAUCACUUCAGUUGACAGAACACGCACUUGCUCAGAAAUGUUCUGUCCCAUUGUUGUGUCUCUACUAGAGACCCUCCAGUUUUCUCCAUAUUGCCUUUUGUAUCGGGUCCAAGGUCUUUUUGGCUCUCCAAGGUAUUAGCAGCCUUUGAAAUGAACAAGAACCUCUUCCAAAGAGCAUGACUGAUUCUGAUCACUGAGUUCCACAUUCAGCCAUGUCAGACUGAAAGAACAAGAUCUGCACGAGUGUUACUAUUCUGUUGUACUGAUUUCCCCCACCUGUGUUGACUUAAUUUUAACUUCCCUAAAUUGGAGAAUGGAGGAGAGGGAGAUCAAUGUAUUGGAGUAUAUAAAUACAUACAUACAUACAUACAUAUAUAUGCCAUUCUCUCAGAAUUCCCCCUGGAUUAAGGCCAGCCACAGGCAAAGAGGUGAAGCAGAAAACAAUUACCUGGAAAGCCCCCUAAGUCUAUUCCCCCAUGUCCUGUCUCUCUCAGAUGCACAAGGCCCCUGCGUCCUGGCCUCAGCCCUCUCAUCCUUCUCCUUCCCCUCUUUUCCUCACCAGGUGACUUGGUCUGUUGCCAGUCAUUUAUGUUCUGUGUGAUUUUGAAUGCAUGUGUCACCUCUUGCAUGAAUAUUUUCUGUUUUAAGCUUUCACUUUAACUGUAAAGUGAAAUCAGUUUUCUUCCAUUCAGAAAGUGGGGGAGGUAGGCUCUAUACAGCACCUUCCUGGUCCCUGGGAUCCAGCCCAUCCUCAGAGGCCGGCUGGCCCUGGCUGUGGUCAAGUGCAUGCGUGGGAGGGAGUCCUUUCCACCGUGUGAACAUGCAAAGGCUGUCUUUGGAAUCCACCAGACACAUUGGGGACAGUUCUCAGCUUGAAACAACAUCAGUCCAAGGGCAUUGCAGCUGCAUCAAUGCCAUGGAGCCUCUGCUGCCAGGCUAAACAGAAUCAAGCAGCAAUUAUUGUGAUUAAAUGUUGUUUCUAGUGCAACAUGGUAGAAGUGAAAGAACUUGUGGCUUUUUUGUUCUGAUUGCACAAGCUUGGAGUUCAACAAUAAAUGGCUUUUCAUUUGUGGUCAAAAUACAGCUCUGUAUUAGGAACUUAAUCCUAAACAGGUUUUUACCUCUUGCAAAGUUUAUAGUGGUCCAAUAUUGUUUCAUAUUCAUGGUGUGAUUAGAAGAUGAAAUUGUGCCUGGCACAUAGUAGGUAUUUAUCAAUUAUGUGUUUAAUGAAUGACAGAGUGUCAGCAAGUAGAAAAUAUCAUGCGAGGUAUUGGUCAAGAAACCAGUGAAACCAACCCGAGUUGCAGACUGCCUGUAGUAAGAGAAACAGAGAAGCUUUCCAGAAUCUCUUAUCACAUAUGGAACCUCCUCAAGCUUAUCAAGUCCUGAGAUUAGAAAUUAAAUGGAUCCAUUUCCAACUUGCUUUUUGUGUAAGAUUUUCAAUAUUUUGGGUAUAUGCCUUUAAUCAGCCUCGGAAGCUUUCAGGAGAAGUGUUUUCUUUCUGCGUUACCUGUCCGUGCACCAUCUGUGUGUUUUGGUUCUGUCUUCGCAUUUUGUUGAAAGGCUACUCUAAAUUUGAAUUGUAAAUAUGUAAAUAUGCCAAGUACAUGUUAAUGAAAAAAUAACGAGACUUGUAAGUCAGCCCUGCAGCCGGUGUACCAUGGUGAUGUUGCCAGAGUGCAAAUGGUGUUUUGGAAGGGCUGUCGGGAGUGAUUCCCGGCACUGCAUGCUGACUAAAAAGGCCGUCCAUGGCUUCUCUUCCUGACAUCCACCUAACUGCUGUGGCCUCAUCAGGUUUGCCUCUGAAUUACUAAGACUGUGCUUUCUGGGAGUUGAAACUAUUGAUCACAUUAAGAAUUUAAGAUUCUUGCUGGAGCAACAUUCUCCUUUGUGUGGAAAGUCCUGAAUUUUUAUCUUAGACUUUAGGAAUCACUGGCAACUUAUAAAAUGAUAGAAACUAAGGGUUCAAAAGAACCCUUAGCUUCUUUUGAAAUGACCACAUUUUUCAGAAGGGGAAACUGAGGCAUGGGGCGGCUUGGACUCGCUUCAGGCCACACAGCAAUUCAGUGGAAAAGAAUGGAGCAGAACCUGGUCUGUACUUCUACGUAGCAGCAAUGUACCCGAUCACUGCCAUUUUACCAGACUCUGGAGUGGGAAAGAGCUGCCUUAUAUUCAAGUUCCUUUAAGGGAAUCAAGAAGGCUCCUAGGAAACAAAAGCUCUGACUUUAUCAUCCCAUAAUCUUUGAGUAAACUGAAGGCUAGGUUCCAGCUCCAGGGAUCCGGCUGUAUAACCUUCAGCAUCUGUACUAGUGCUACUUCAAAUGUAGUUCACAGACUGGCAGCCUGGAUGUCACCUGGAAGCCAGUUAGAAAUGCAGACUCUUGAGCCCCGCUCCAGACUUGCCAAAUCAGAAUCUGUAACAAGAUCCCAGAUCACCAUAUAUACAUCUAGCAGCUCUUCUAGAACAGUGCUUCUCAAACUUCAGAGUGCGUCACGAUCACCUGCAGGGCUUGUUAAUACAGAGGUUGCCGGGCCCCGCCACCCCCGAGUGUCUGAGUCAUAAGUCUGGGGGAAGGUUCAGAAUUCUGCAUUUCAACAAGUUCCCAGGUGCUGCUAACUGGGACCACCCUUGGGGAAGUUCCAUUCUACAAGAACCAUGACCCUGUCCCUUCCUCUACAAGGGGCCUAGGAGUCACACCCCUUGAGUCAUCUGCCUUCCCUGCCCUCUCCAGGCAGAAAGCUGUGAGGAUAAGCUCUGGACAUAUAUUUUUAAAUACAAGUUCUGACUUUCUCUAAUCAAGCUAGUCUCUCUUGAAACAUUUCCCCAGCCCUAAGUAAUUCACAAUAACACCAGUAAAUAACUUGGAGGGAUGUGUGUUUUGAGGAUUUUGGUUCUAUUUUUAUGAAUCAAGAAAUAUUUUGCCUGGCUAUUAAUAUUUUUAAAACUUCAUAAAGAUAGCCAUUAUUUAAGUACUGCGUAAUGAUUUCAGCCACAUUUUUGCCAUUGCUGGGUACAAUAUUAGCACUGUUAAGCCAGCAGUCCUUACGAUGGCAGUACAUCUAAUGGUGUGGGAGAGACCACAGGACGCGUUCUCUAAUUUGGCACUAGCUCACAGUGAACUGGUGUUACAAACUCCUCUGUUGACAUUCCUUUGACAUAUGAAAUGACCAUCUGCUCUUAAAUUCUACUUCUCCAGUCUUGAGGGUUUACUUUUCCCAGAUCAAGCAUCUUUUACUGUGCAGUCCCAGUGAGGUAGUAGCUGUCUGCCGAAAGGGGGCAUUUGUAGUUAGCCCAGGCUAAACAAGUGCUAAAAGGAAGUGGAUCUUUUCAAUAUCAUGAGCCACGAGUAGGAAAUUUGAUUGAGAGGCAUUUGUGUCAAGUGGUACAUUUUUGAACCUCUUGGCAAAGAAACUGAAGUUUAUUUUUUUUUAAGUCUUUUAUUAUGAAAAAAAAAAAGGUGGCUGAAUUACUGCCCUCAGAAGCCAAAUAAAAACAGUGCAAAGCAAUGCUUAACAGAGCGUGACUGCAAAUAGUGCUGGUCUCAGUAAACUGGCCUGCCUGUAGACACCACAUCCAUCACAGCAAAGCUGGUGGGAUGUUUGUAAAGCCCUCCAGAUACCUUGGAAGGAGGUUUAUGAUUAAUGCAUGGCUGGGAGUAAGCAGUGGGUGUACCAGAUGGGAGUGAACAUUCUUCUCUCUGGCCCUAAAACAAGUCCUGAUAGAGUGAAGUUAAGAUUGCCAGGGAGAUGGGUGUGGCUCUCACAUCCUCACCUGUCUGCUGCUGUCCCAGACAGGCCAGACGCCUGGAGGUUGUGAAUACCUGGGGCUGAGAGCAUGCUGGGCAGUGUGUUAGAAGAGGAAGUGCUGGGGACAGAGCCUGUAGCUGCAUGACCCUAAAUAAGGCACUGAACUUUGAGCCUCAGUUUCCUCAUCCAUAGAAUCGAUUCAAUAACAUCUACCGCAAAGGGUCAUGAGGACGAAAUAAAAUAACCCACAGUAAAGUAGCUGGCAGACACACAGUCUGUGCUCACUUCCAUUUUUCGGUGCUUUUUAUGUCAAGCCUAUGAGUCAAAACUGGUAUGUAGCGAGCCUCUUGGGGGCCCUGGAGGGAACUUGGGUAAAGCCACAGUAAUGGAUUAUAUGCAAGCAGGAGCACCAUGGAGACCAACCUACCCUGGCCAGGUGGUCGGGCAAGCAGGCUUUUGUAGGUUCCUUGUGCCCCCAUCAAGUUUCAGCAUCACUUGAGAGGACAGAGCAAAAGGGUUUCUUCCAACUCUUACCACCUUUGAAGAUCUGACCAAUAUGCACUUCCUCUUGCCUCCUUUUCUUCCUCUUAACUAUUAAUUCAUCCAAUAAAUAUUAAGUGCCUACUGGGUGCCACACACUACGGCUACAGUUAUGAACCAGAUAGGUCAGUUUGAAGUUCCUCCCUCCUGGGGCUUAGCCCAGCAGAGGAGACACUUGAAUUGCUUCAUAAUUUCAAUUUUGAGUAAGGAAGGAAAAAACUUGUAAAAGAUGGGCCUCAGCCACACCUGAGAGGUGGGAGGGUUUUGGCAUCAGGAAAGCUGCCCCAAGGAAGUGAGACUCAUAGGAUGCUUAGAUUUGUCAGAUGAAAAAUGUUGGAAAGAGAGCCAACAAUGUUUAAGGCUCCUUUUUCCUUUAGAAAUGGAAGGUCCAGCCCCCUUGAGGCUUGUGUGAGGAACCUAGGAGCUGGAGAAGGUGUGAAAUUGUCAUUGCAGAGAGGGGUCAGAAGAACACUAAGCUUGGGGACAUGGUGAGAUUACUGGAGUUGACAGGCCUGCUGCGGGGGAUGAAGACACUGAUAUUACGGUGCUGUGACUUUUCUCAGGAGAUGUUCAGCUGCUUCAGUGACAAUACAGAGAAGCCAGAUGGCUGUGUUCAUUCCAGAGUGAAGGAUUUGCCUUAAGGCCAGGUGCGGUGGCUCAUGCCUAUAAUCCCAGCAUUUUGGGAGGCCUAGGCUGGCAGAUCACUUGAGAUCAGGAGUUCAAGACCAGCCUGGCCAACGUGGUGAAACCCCAUCUCUACUAAAAUUACAAAAAAAUUACCAGGCGUGGUGGCACAUACCUGUAGUCCCAGCUACUCAGGAGGCUGAGGCAGGGAAUCACUUAAACCCAGGAGUCCUUACAAUCGAUUCAGUAACAUCUACCUUAAAGGGUCAUGAGCCGAGAUCACGCCACUGCACUCCAGCCUGGGCGACAGAGGAAGAUGCUGUCUCAAAAAAAAAGGAUUUGCCUUAAGACACUCUUAGCUUAUUUUUUAAUUGUUUGCUUAGUGCGCUCAUCCCUAUUACUCUCCUUCCCUUCCUUGUGGUAUAAAUUAUGAAUUAAACUUGCAUUUUGAGAAUCUGCUUGAGAAUCUACUCACCAUUCUUCCUACAGAAACAUGUAUUCAAUAAAAAUUCCUGACUGGCUCCUAUUUCCCAGGUCAUAGAGGUGCUAGGAAUAUGGUGGGAAGUGAGGUGGAGACAUCCCUGCCCUCAAGGAAAUUAGAUUGGAUGAGCCAACAUGCAAGGCAGGAAGAAAUAGAACCUAAAGCCCAAAAUACACACUGUCUGAAACAUUCCAUGAAGCCUUCUUGUGCAAAGUGAAUCCCCACUACCCGUGCUCCUUAUGCAGUCAGUGUAGAACGUACCGCAUUAGCCCAAAUAGAAGCGCAUCUCAGGGUUCUGUCAGAGUGCAUGUGAUACGUACUUCUAGAAAGACCAUGCCCUUGCACUCUGCCUCCCUCCCUCUCUCGUGUCUCUCUCUGUCUCUCUCUCUUCACCAUUAAAAAUGAACCUUGAGAAUUGGCUUCCAAGUCAGAAUUUGGGGGAAACCAACCUUAGAAGUGAUUCCUUACCCAUCAAAUUCACUUGCCUUUUGGCUUGUCUGGGGCAAAAGUGUUUAUAAACAAUAAACUAUAUUAUUUCUGUGA